AGUGGCGAACGGGUGAGUAAUAUAUCGGAACGUACCUUAUUGUGGGGGAUAACGCAGCGAAAGCUGUGCUAAUACCGCAUAAUCCCUAAGGGGGAAAGCGGGGGACCGUAAGGCCUCGCGCAAUUAGAGCGGCCGAUACCUGAUUAGCUAGUUGGUGAGGUAAAGGCUCACCAAGGCAACGAUCAGUAGCUGGUCUGAGAGGACGAUCAGCCACACUGGGACUGAGACACGGCCCAGACUCCUACGGGAGGCAGCAGUGGGGAAUUUUGGACAAUGGGGGCAACCCUGAUCCAGCAAUGCCGCGUGAGUGAAGAAGGCCUUCGGGUUGUAAAGCUCUUUUGUCAGGGAAGAAACAGCAGCUCUAACACAGUCUGCGAAUGACGGUACCUGAAGAAUAAGCACCGGCUAACUACGUGCCAGCAGCCGCGGUAAUACGUAGGGUGCAAGCGUUAAUCGGAAUUACUGGGCGUAAAGCGUGCGCAGGCGGUUAUGUAAGACAGGCGUGAAAUCCCCGGGCUUAACCUGGGAAUUGCGCUUGUGACUGCAUAGCUAGAGUAUGUCAGAGGGGGGUAGAAUUCCACGUGUAGCAGUGAAAUGCGUAGAGAUGUGGAGGAAUACCAAUGGCGAAGGCAGCCCCCUGGGAUAAUACUGACGCUCAUGCACGAAAGCUUGGGGAGCAAACAGGAUUAGAUACCCUGGU
rnacentral:rRNA from 1 species